rnacentral:rRNA from 1 species
GCCUAGCCGUAACACACAAUUAAACUACCAAUUGUCCGCCAAACAACUACGAGCCAUACUUGAAACUUAAAAGACUUGACGGUACUUCAUCACGGCCUAGAGGAGCCUGUCCAAUAACCGACAAUCCACGAUUAACCCAACCCCUUCUUGCCCAACAGUCUAUAUACCGCCGUCGCCAGCUUACCUUGUAAAAGAAAUAAAGUGAGCUAAAUAGUACAACACUAAAACGACAGGUCGAGGUGUAACUUAUGAAGGGGCCAAGAUGGGCUACAUUCUCCAACCGAGAAUACGCAUAACACUAUGAAAUUAGUGUUUGAAGGCGGAUUUAGCAGUAAGAUAAGAAUAAAAUACUUAACUGAACACAACGCAAUGAAGUGCGUACACACCGCCCGUCAUCCCUGCCACCAUAAUAUAAACCUUAAUAAACUAACCAAAAAAAUCAAACAGGGCAAGUCGUAACAUGGUAAGUGUACUGGAAAGUGUACUUAGAAA